AGAAAGACAACAAAUGCUGGCAUGGAUGUGGAGAAAGAAGAACAUCUAUUCACUCUGGCACACUGAGAACUGAUGGACCAGUUGCUGAAAUAGCCUCAACCCAGGGGAAGAGAGGCAGAGAAUCUCUACAACAGAGAUCUCGCUUUCCUGUAAUUAUGCAUCUGUCUCAAGUCCCCAGCUGUCACUCCUUACUGGCCUCUUAAUUCCAGUCAUGGUUUGGCACUGAAACAGUAAGUGGCAGCCGUAUCCUCACGGAACUUCGGCUCUCCUCUCCACAGCCUUCACUAAUGAAUCAUGUCACUCUUUCUUGCUGAGCCUGCAUAUGCUCAGCGGUUCCUCAGAACAGCACCCCAGGAAGUCAAUACCAAUCACAGUUGGCACAGCUUGCUGUAGACGAUGGAUGUGCAUUAACUCACUCACAACUCAUUUCAAACAUUUUUGGCUAACUUGCUGAACAGCAGUGGCUGUCCACACAACACGCUGCAUUUUCCAAACAUCCGUUUUAACUAGCGUUAGGCCAGGGGCUUAGGAUCUGCCCCAAAAGUUGCAUUUGUGUGAUACACAGAUGAAGACCUAAAGAUCAGGAAGGAGCAGUUGCUUGUAAAUCCUCCAGGGAAGCUUUGGUGAAAUUUCUGGCUUCUAAUUCUAUUGUAAUAGCAAUGAAAAUAACACUGUAUUCCCAUUGCUACUAUUUCACAUGUGUGAUGGUCAUUUUUCUAGGCAGUGUGUCCUCCAAGUGUAUCUCUGGCAUCAGUAGUGACAAACUUAAAGGGCAUCCCAAUGAUUUUGUGAUACACAACUUUUAUUAAUUUCAUAAUGAACCGCGUAGGCUGAUUUCACUUUUCUGCAACUGAUUCAUGACUUGUUCAAAACUGGAAUGUCCUAGCAUCUCUGCCAAUUACCAGUGUGAUUGAUGGAGUACCAUGGAAAAUCCUGCGGGAUGGUUUAAAUAUAGGAUCUAUGUUUCGCAUGGUACUCAAGAAUAUGAACCAGGAAAUGGAUUUAACAAGCAGGUUUUUAAAAGUCCUUAUUUUAAGAUGGCUGUCAUUUUUUUUUUUUUUU